rnacentral:rRNA from 1 species
AGCGUACACGGUGGAUGCCCUGGCAGUCAGAGGCGAUGAAGGACGUGCUAAUCUGCGAUAAGCGUCGGUAAGGUGAUAUGAACCGUUAUAACCGGCGAUUUCCGAAUGGGGAAACCCAGUGUGUUUCGACACACUAUCAUUAACUGAAUCCAUAGGUUAAUGAGGCGAACCGGGGGAACUGAAACAUCUAAGUACCCCGAGGAAAAGAAAUCAACCGAGAUUCCCCCAGUAGCGGCGAGCGAACGGGGAGCAGCCCAGAGCCUGAAUCAGUGUGUGUGUUAGUGGAAGCGUCUGGAAAGGCGCGCGAUACAGGGUGACAGCCCCGUACACAAAAAUGCACAUGCUGUGAGCUCGAUGAGUAGGGCGGGACACGUGGUAUCCUGUCUGAAUAUGGGGGGACCAUCCUCCAAGGCUAAAUACUCCUGACUGACCGAUAGUGAACCAGUACCGUGAGGGAAAGGCGAAAAGAACCCCGGCGAGGGGAGUGAAAAAGAACCUGAAACCGUGUACGUACAAGCAGUGGGAGCACGCUUAGGCGUGUGACUGCGUACCUUUUGUAUAAUGGGUCAGCGACUUAUAUUCUGUAGCAAGGUUAACCGAAUAGGGGAGCCGAAGGGAAACCGAGUCUUAACUGGGCGUUAAGUUGCAGGGUAUAGACCCGAAACCCGGUGAUCUAGCCAUGGGCAGGUUGAAGGUUGGGUAACACUAACUGGAGGACCGAACCGACUAAUGUUGAAAAAUUAGCGGAUGACUUGUGGCUGGGGGUGAAAGGCCAAUCAAACCGGGAGAUAGCUGGUUCUCCCCGAAAGCUAUUUAGGUAGCGCCUCGUGAAUUCAUCUCCGGGGGUAGAGCACUGUUUCGGCAAGGGGGUCAUCCCGACUUACCAACCCGAUGCAAACUGCGAAUACCGGAGAAUGUUAUCACGGGAGACACACGGCGGGUGCUAACGUCCGUCGUGAAGAGGGAAACAACCCAGACCGCCAGCUAAGGUCCCAAAGUCAUGGUUAAGUGGGAAACGAUGUGGGAAGGCCCAGACAGCCAGGAUGUUGGCUUAGAAGCAGCCAUCAUUUAAAGAAAGCGUAAUAGCUCACUGGUCGAGUCGGCCUGCGCGGAAGAUGUAACGGGGCUAAACCAUGCACCGAAGCUGCGGCAGCGACGCUUAUGCGUUGUUGGGUAGGGGAGCGUUCUGUAAGCCUGCGAAGGUGUGCUGUGAGGCAUGCUGGAGGUAUCAGAAGUGCGAAUGCUGACAUAAGUAACGAUAAAGCGGGUGAAAAGCCCGCUCGCCGGAAGACCAAGGGUUCCUGUCCAACGUUAAUCGGGGCAGGGUGAGUCGACCCCUAAGGCGAGGCCGAAAGGCGUAGUCGAUGGGAAACAGGUUAAUAUUCCUGUACUUGGUGUUACUGCGAAGGGGGGACGGAGAAGGCUAUGUUGGCCGGGCGACGGUUGUCCCGGUUUAAGCGUGUAGGCUGGUUUUCCAGGCAAAUCCGGAAAAUCAAGGCUGAGGCGUGAUGACGAGGCACUACGGUGCUGAAGCAACAAAUGCCCUGCUUCCAGGAAAAGCCUCUAAGCAUCAGGUAACAUCAAAUCGUACCCCAAACCGACACAGGUGGUCAGGUAGAGAAUACCAAGGCGCUUGAGAGAACUCGGGUGAAGGAACUAGGCAAAAUGGUGCCGUAACUUCGGGAGAAGGCACGCUGAUAUGUAGGUGAAGUCCCUUGCGGAUGGAGCUGAAAUCAGUCGAAGAUACCAGCUGGCUGCAACUGUUUAUUAAAAACACAGCACUGUGCAAACACGAAAGUGGACGUAUACGGUGUGACGCCUGCCCGGUGCCGGAAGGUUAAUUGAUGGGGUUAGCCGCAAGGCGAAGCUCUUGAUCGAAGCCCCGGUAAACGGCGGCCGUAACUAUAACGGUCCUAAGGUAGCGAAAUUCCUUGUCGGGUAAGUUCCGACCUGCACGAAUGGCGUAAUGAUGGCCAGGCUGUCUCCACCCGAGACUCAGUGAAAUUGAACUCGCUGUGAAGAUGCAGUGUACCCGCGGCAAGACGGAAAGACCCCGUGAACCUUUACUAUAGCUUGACACUGAACAUUGAGCCUUGAUGUGUAGGAUAGGUGGGAGGCUUUGAAGUGUGGACGCCAGUCUGCAUGGAGCCGACCUUGAAAUACCACCCUUUAAUGUUUGAUGUUCUAACGUUGACCCGUAAUCCGGGUUGCGGACAGUGUCUGGUGGGUAGUUUGACUGGGGCGGUCUCCUCCUAAAGAGUAACGGAGGAGCACGAAGGUUGGCUAAUCCUGGUCGGACAUCAGGAGGUUAGUGCAAUGGCAUAAGCCAGCUUGACUGCGAGCGUGACGGCGCGAGCAGGUGCGAAAGCAGGUCAUAGUGAUCCGGUGGUUCUGAAUGGAAGGGCCAUCGCUCAACGGAUAAAAGGUACUCCGGGGAUAACAGGCUGAUACCGCCCAAGAGUUCAUAUCGACGGCGGUGUUUGGCACCUCGAUGUCGGCUCAUCACAUCCUGGGGCUGAAGUAGGUCCCAAGGGUAUGGCUGUUCGCCAUUUAAAGUGGUACGCGAGCUGGGUUUAGAACGUCGUGAGACAGUUCGGUCCCUAUCUGCCGUGGGCGCUGGAGAACUGAGGGGGGCUGCUCCUAGUACGAGAGGACCGGAGUGGACGCAUCACUGGUGUUCGGGUUGUCAUGCCAAUGGCACUGCCCGGUAGCUAAAUGCGGAAGAGAUAAGUGCUGAAAGCAUCUAAGCACGAAACUUGCCCCGAGAUGAGUUCU